rnacentral:rRNA from 1 species
AGAGUUUGAUCAUGGCUCAGGACGAACGCUGGCGGCGUGCCUAAUACAUGCAAGUCGAACGCACUGACGGAGAACUUGUUCUCUUGACGUGAGUGGCGCACGGGUGAGUAACACGUGGGAAACCUACCCUUCAGCGGGGGAUAACCAUCGGAAACGAUGACUAAUACCGCAUAGACGACAGAACCGCCUGGUUCAAUCGGGAAAGACGGCUUCGGCUGUCACUGAAGGAUGGUCCCGCGCUGCAUUAGCUAGUUGGUAAGGUAACGGCUUACCAAGGCGAUGAUGCAUAGCCGACCUGAGAGGGUGAUCGGCCACAUUGGGACUGAGACACGGCCCAAACUCCUACGGGAGGCAGCAGUAGGGAAUCUUCCGCAAUGGACGCAAGUCUGACGGAGCAACGCCGCGUGUGUGAAGAAGGUUUUCGGAUCGUAAAGCACUGUUAUUAGAGAAGAACAGCCGAUAGAGUAACUGUUAUCGGUUUGACGGUAUCUAACCAGAAAGUGACGGCUAACUACGUGCCAGCAGCCGCGGUAAUACGUAGGUCACAAGCGUUGUCCGGAUUUAUUGGGCGUAAAGGGAGCGCAGGCGGUUUGUUAAGUCUGAUGUGAAAGCCCACGGCUCAACCGUGGAACGGCAUUGGAAACUGGCAAACUUGAGUAUAGAAGAGGAAAGUGGAAUUCCAUGUGUAGCGGUGAAAUGCGUAGAUAUAUGGAGGAACACCAGUGGCGAAGGCGACUUUCUGGUCUAUAACUGACGCUGAGGCUCGAAAGCGUGGGGAGCGAACAGGAUUAGAUACCCUGGUAGUCCACGCCGUAAACGAUGAGUGUUAAGUGUUGGGGGGCUUCCACCCCUCAGUGCUGGCGUUAACGCAAUAAACACUCCGCCUGGG